CUUUAGAAAUAAAUCCCAUUUUAAAGGUUUAUUUUUUUCUCUCAACAACAUACACAUUCAGAAUGAAAGGAAGAUGUUGGGAAGCAUACUGUAAACAAAGUAGACCUCAUACCUAUCCAUUCAAUGACUUGCCUUUCCUGUUGGCAUUUUUCCUUUUCCUAAGAUGUCACCAAGGGGCAGUUGGGAGAAUAUGAAGUGUGCUCCGAGUCUGCUCUGGAGCAUGAAGCACAGUGUUGUGCAUGGAAGUGAUUUGCCUGGAAAGCACACUGGCAGUCUGAAGAAAUCUUGUAGAGAAGGGAUAAAGCUUGGCUCAGUCAAAGGAAGAUAACUGUGAGCCUCUUAAUUCCUAGCUCUUGUAGUUAGCUGAGGCUAGGCCUUAUGAAAAAUGAUCUUUCAUAGUGCAAAUUGCAUUGUGCUUAUGUGGGAAAUCAUGUUUGCACCAUCAUAGGGAAGUCAUAUGCACUAUCUUGUCAUUAAACAAGCAUCCUUGCGGAUUAACCUGAUUUCAAAUUGUGUCCUAAAUUGUUGCUGCUUUGUUUUCUGAGGGUGGAGAGAAGUUUGUCUGUUUCUUGAGUGAAGUGGAAGGUUUGUGUUUUGAUUAUUUUUAACUGCUUUAUUUCAAGCAGUACACACUUGAUUAGUAAAGUAUUCUUUUUUCCUGAAAUAAAUCUGAGUAAGUUUCACAGGAGGAACUUUUUACUAACCAUUGUUCUUCUUUCCCCAGGUUAUGAAAGAAGCCCAUCCAGCAUUCAUUCAUGAUUUGAAUGUCCAUGGGUCAUCCCUUCUAGACGUUUUAGCUCAGUCUCUUUCUUAUCAAAUAUAUUUUCACUUACCAGCUUUUUCUUUUCAGCAUCUAUCACAUCAUGUCUAAUAUUCAGGACAAAGUAGAAGUUUUUCACCUAACAAAACCUGUGUGUUUCUUUGCUCAUUCUCAAAGCCACUAUAGUGCAAGGGAAGACAUGCUCUCCAAGUUUUCUUUAAUUCUGAGCAAAGCCCAAUUGACUGGUUACUUUUCCCCUCAACAAAUUUGCUUCACUGUGACAUACAUUAAAUAGUGGAAUUUCAGAAAACCAUUCUGCAUAAUGGUAUGCUUAUUUUCUGUUCCUUUGGGGUUUUCUUUUGAAACAUGCUCAAGCUUAUGAGGACAAUUUAUGAACUGUCCUUCCUGUAGGAGCACCAUAGAUCUUUUUUUAGUCACGUGUCACAGCAAAUAUUAAAGGUUUAAGUCAAAUUGCGUCUUAAGUAUUGCUUUUGAUGUAUGCUUUCUGACACUUAGCCAACAUUAUUAUUUUCACUGGGUUUGGGGAAUUCUAAGUGACUUUAGGAAUAAAAAAAUUUUAGUAGUGCUUCUUAAGAAGAGAAUCACGCUCUUGUUCUCACGCUGGAAAUAUGGAAAUAUUUUAUACUAGAAACAAAAUAAAUACAAUGGGAUUUUGGCUGAUUUAUGAUUUUUUUUUUUUUUUUUAAUUCAAGUAGGAAGUAUUUAUUCUAAAUACAUUAGGAACACAUCUGUUCAGAUAAAAGAUGCCACAUUUGUUUUCCUGCUUUGGAAUAGGAGCUUUCCAGCUGCAGUGGUUCUUAUUUCUUUACCAAAGUGCACAAUAAACUUUUUAAUGCAUUAUUGAGAAAUAGUAAUCUUUUUUUUUCUUUUUUACCCCAAAUUGAAAAAACAUAAAUCCAACUGCGAAAGCAUAAAUCCAACUAUGAAAAACUGGAGGGCUGCAUUAAAAAAAUAGUCUGUUCUUAAAAGUUUUCUUAAAAUACACCUUCAUGGUUAAGAUUUGAAGUAUGAGGAUUUUCAAGGGCAAAGAACAAAGAGUAAAACCAGAAAUACUGUCUUUCAGCUGAUACAAAUCUAUCCCUAUGAUAAUUAUGAGAGAACUGACCUUAAAUAAGGUAUUGUUUCAUGGCUAAAUAGUAUCCAUAUGUUUGUUACACCUAAGACCAUGUGAUUUUCUUUUUGUUGUUGUUUUUUCGAGAGAUGUUAUCUAGGUCAGAGGUCUGGUGGUUGAAAGAGAUUCAACAGUUAUUUGUAGUCCGAACACGAAAUGGAGUGAAAGAAGCAUGCUCAGUGUAGCCUAUCCCAGUGUAUCCUGGGACUGUGGCAAUAUCGCCAUGAGAAACUCCCUUUAAACAAAGCAUGCUGGGUUUUUUUCUCCUUUGAAAUGGCACAAAGAGUUCACCAAUGUUACAUAAUUUGUUGGUUGCCCUUACUGUGGUAACUAACAUUUUAAACAAAACCUUUCCCUGAUGCAG